AUUUUCCCUCCCUCCUUUUCCCCCUCUUAAAUGUCAGUUAAUGUCGUCUGUAAAGCACGUUGAAUUCUGGGCUUUCACUCUUUCUCUUUCUCGUGUUAAACUGAUUUGUCCGUGAUUGCCCAAAGAUAAUUUACUGGGUAUAAGGACCCGCGUGUGUGUGUGUCGCUCUUCUUCUUUUGAGAGACGUCACUCAAGUUCUAUCAAGUGUGUGACGGUAUAUCUAACAUUUGUGUGUCAUAGGACACUAAUUGGCCUAUUCAGCCCUGGUUGUCGACUCUGUGUAUACGAGUGAUUCUCACUUUAUGUGUGUAGCCUGUUUCCACAGGAACCACAAUCACUACCAUUAUCAACCACCACUUCCAUUAUCACAAGUACACCGUGUUCAUUUUCAUGAGCCAGAGUCCAGUCGAAAAAAAUCCAAGAGAUUCUGCUCUUACGAGCCAGCUCAGAUUUUCAUUAAGUGUAAACAAGUUGUCUCACAUUGUAAUUGUACACAGCUAUAUUAUUGCCAGGCCUUUUAUUUAUUUCAUUUUUCUU